UCCAGAAAGCAUAUCAGGCAGCCUUGGGGU
rnacentral:piRNA from 1 species